AGACCCGAAACCCGGUGAUCUAGCCAUGGGCAGGUUGAAGGUUGGGUAACACUAACUGGAGGACCGAACCGACUAAUGUUGAAAAAUUAGCGGAUGACCUGUGGCUGGGGGUGAAAGGCCAAUCAAACCGGGAGAUAGCUGGUUCUCCCCGAAAGCUAUUUAGGUAGCGCCUCGUGAAUUCAUCUCCGGGGGUAGAGCACUGUUUCGGCUAGGGGGCCAUCCCGGCUUACCAACCCGAUGCAAACUGCGAAUACCGGAGAAUGUUAUCACGGGAGACACACGGCGGGUGCUAACGUCCGUCGUGAAGAGGGAAACAACCCAGACCGCCAGCUAAGGUCCCAAAGUCAUGGUUAAGUGGGAAACGAUGUGGGAAGGCCCAGACAGCCAGGAUGUUGGCUUAGAAGCAGCCAUCAUUUAAAGAAAGCGUAAUAGCUCACUGGUCGAGUCGGCCUGCGCGGAAGAUGUAACGGGGCUAAACUAUGCACCGAAGCUGCGGCAGCGACACUAUGUGUUGUUGGGUAGGGGAGCGUUCUGUAAGCCUGUGAAGGUGUGUCGUGAGGCAUGCUGGAGGUAUCAGAAGUGCGAAUGCUGACAUAAGUAACGAUAAAGCGGGUGAAAAGCCCGCUCGCCGGAAGACCAAGGGUUCCUGUCCAACGUUAAUCGGGGCAGGGUGAGUCGACCCCUAAGGCGAGGCCGAAAGGCGUAGUCGAUGGGAAACGGGUUAAUAUUCCCGUACUUGGUGUUACUGCGAAGGGGGGACGGAGAAGGCUAUGUUGGCCGGGCGACGGUUGUCCCGGUUUAAGCGUGUAGGUGUGUGUUCCAGGUAAAUCCGGUUCACUUUAACACUGAGGCGUGAUGACGAGGCACUACGGUGCUGAAGCAACAAAUGCCCUGCUUCCAGGAAAAGCCUCUAAGCAUCAGGUAACAUCAAAUCGUACCCCAAACCGACACAGGUGGUCAGGUAGAGAAUACCAAGGCGCUUGAGAGAACUCGGGUGAAGGAACUAGGCAAAAUGGUGCCGUAACUUCGGGAGAAGGCACGCUGACACGUAGGUGAAGUGAUUUACUCAUGGAGCUGAAGUCAGUCGAAGAUACCAGCUGGCUGCAACUGUUUAUUAAAAACACAGCACUGUGCAAACACGAAAGUGGACGUAUACGGUGUGACGCCUGCCCGGUGCCGGAAGGUUAAUUGAUGGGGUCAGCGCAAGCGAAGCUCCUGAUCGAAGCCCCGGUAAACGGCGGCCGUAACUAUAACGGUCCUAAGGUAGCGAAAUUCCUUGUCGGGUAAGUUCCGACCUGCACGAAUGGCGUAAUGAUGGCCAGGCUGUCUCCACCCGAGACUCAGUGAAAUUGAACUCGCUGUGAAGAUGCAGUGUACCCGCGGCAAGACGGAAAGACCCCGUGAACCUUUACUAUAGCUUGACACUGAACAUUGAGCCUUGAUGUGUAGGAUAGGUGGGAGGCUUUGAAGUGUGGACGCCAGUCUGCAUGGAGCCGACCUUGAAAUACCACCCUUUAAUGUUUGAUGUUCUAACGUGGACCCGUGAUCCGGGUUGCGGACAGUGUCUGGUGGGUAGUUUGACUGGGGCGGUCUCCUCCUAAAGAGUAACGGAGGAGCACGAAGGUUGGCUAAUCCUGGUCGGACAUCAGGAGGUUAGUGCAAUGGCAUAAGCCAGCUUGACUGCGAGCGUGACGGCGCGAGCAGGUGCGAAAGCAGGUCAUAGUGAUCCGGUGGUUCUGAAUGGAAGGGCCAUCGCUCAACGGAUAAAAGGUACUCCGGGGAUAACAGGCUGAUACCGCCCAAGAGUUCAUAUCGACGGCGGUGUUUGGCACCUCGAUGUCGGCUCAUCACAUCCUGGGGCUGAAGUAGGUCCCAAGGGUAUGGCUGUUCGCCAUUUAAAGUGGUACGCGAGCUGGGUUUAGAACGUCGUGAGACAGUUCGGUCCCUAUCUGCCGUGGGCGCUGGAGAACUGAGGGGGGCUGCUCCUAGUACGAGAGGACCGGAGUGGACGCAUCACUGGUGUUCGGGUUGUCAUGCCAAUGGCACUGCCCGGUAGCUAAAUGCGGAAGAGAUAAGUGCUGAAAGCAUCUAAGCACGAAACUUGCCCCGAGAUGAGUUCUCCCUGAGACUUAAAGUCUCCUGAAGGAACGUUGAAGACGACGACGUUGAUAGGCCGGGUGUGUAAGCGCAGCGAUGCGUUGAGCUAACCGGUACUAAUGAACCGUGAGGCUUAACCUUACAAC
rnacentral:rRNA from 1 species